UACGGGGGGGCAAGCGUUGUUCGGAAUUACUGGGCGUAAAGGGCUCGUAGGUGGCCAACUAAGUCGGACGUGAAAUCCCUCGGCUUAACCGGGGAACUGCGUCCGAUACUGGAUGGCUUGAGUGUGGGAGAGGGAUGCGGAAUUCCAGGUGUAGCGGUGAAAUGCGUAGAUAUCUGGAGGAACACCGGUGGCGAAGGCGGCAUCCUGGACCACGACUGACGCUGAGUGAGCGAAAGCCAGGGGAGCAAACGGGG
rnacentral:rRNA from 1 species